rnacentral:rRNA from 1 species
AGGGAUCAUUACCGAGUGGAGGGCCCCCGNSNGCCCGACCUCCAACCCCCUGUCGUUACCACCGCGUUGCCUCGGGGGCGGCCGACCCUUUCGCCGGUCGACGGCCCCCGGCGGUCCGCUCAACUCUGAUUAGAACGGUCGUCUGAGCAAUUGAUGAAAUCAAUCAAAACUUUCAACAACGGAUCUCUUGGUUCUGGCAUCGAUGAAGAACGCAGCGAAAUGCGAUAAGUAAUGUGAAUUGCAGAAUUCAGUGAAUCAUCGAAUCUUUGAACGCACAUUGCGCCCCCCGGCACUCCGGGGGGCAUGCCUGUUCGAGCGUCAUUUUCACCACUCCCGCCCGGCGGGGUGUUGGGCGUCGCGGUCCCCCCGCGUGCCCCAAUGUUUUCCCGGCCCGGUCGUCCCGUCCCCGAGCGUUGUGACAUCUUCGUUUCGCUUGUGGGUGGCGGGCGGCGGCGCGCCGUCAAUACAUUAUCCUCGGUUGACCUCGGAUCAGGUAGGGAUACCCGCUGAACUUAA